rnacentral:rRNA from 1 species
UACGGAGGAUGCAAGCGUUAUCCGGAAUGAUUGGGCGUAAAGCGUCCGCAGGUGGCUGUGUAAGUCUGCUGUUAAAUAGUGAGGCUCAACCUCAUAAAGGCAGUGGAAACUACACGGCUAGAGUGCGUUCGGGGCAGAGGGAAUUCCUGGUGUAGCGGUGAAAUGCGUAGAUAUCAGGAAGAACACCAGUGGCGAAGGCGCUCUACUGGGCCGUAACUGACACUGAGGGACGAAAGCUAGGGGAGCGAAAGGG